AUUGAACGCUGGCGGCAUGCUUUACACAUGCAAGUCGAACGGCAGCGCGGGGCAACCUGGCGGCGAGUGGCGAACGGGUGAGUAAUAUAUCGGAACGUACCCAGAAGUGGGGGAUAACGUAGCGAAAGUUACGCUAAUACCGCAUACGAUCUACGGAUGAAAGUGGGGGACCUUCGGGCCCCAUGCUUUUGGAGCGGCCGAUAUCUGAUUAGCUAGUUGGUGAGGUAAAGGCUCACCAAGGCGACGAUCAGUAGCUGGUCUGAGAGGACGACCAGUCACACUGGGACUGAGACACGGCCCAGACUCCUACGGGAGGCAGCAGUGGGGAAUUUUGGACAAUGGGCGCAAGCCUGAUCCAGCAAUGCCGCGUGAGUGAAGAAGGCCUUCGGGUUGUAAAGCUCUUUUGUCAGGGAAGAAACGGCCGAGGAUAAUACCUUCGGCUAAUGACGGUACCUGAAGAAUAAGCACCGGCUAACUACGUGCCAGCCGCCGCGGUAA
rnacentral:rRNA from 1 species